CUGGUAUGAAUGGUGAGACGAGAAAAUAGCUGUCUCUGAAAUAGAUUUUGAAUUUUAUUUUUAAGUGAAAAAGCUUAAAUGCGUUUGGGGGACGAUCAGACCCUCUGGAGCUUUAUUUAUCCUUUUGUUUACACUUAUUUAAGAUUAUGAAAUAGUCGGGUAAAUUUUGUUGGGGCGACAGGAAGAUUAAAAUAACACUUCUUUUUUAAAACGCUUUUAAGCGAAAUAUUGAUCCUUAGGGAGAGAUUAAAAGAUUAAGUUACCCUAGGGAUAACAGCGUAAUCUUUUUGGAGAGUUCUAAUCGAUAAAAAGGUUUGCGACCUCGAUGUUGGAUUAAGAAAUUGGCAAGGUGCAGAAGUUUUGUUGGAAAGUCUGUUCGACUUUUAAUUUCUUACAUGAUCU
rnacentral:rRNA from 1 species